AUGAGGAGGGGCUCAGCGGAACAAAUGGCCAAGGAGAAAAAAAUAGCUAUCGCCACAAGCAUCAGGAUAUGUGGGCUUCAUGUGCAGCGCCGCCGUCGCCAUGGAGAGACCCCGCCGGAGAAUAUGUCGGCCAGCAUGGCGAACACCUCGAAGAUGAGCCCCGUGCCGUCGGCGCCCGUCAGUUCAAGCACGGUGGUCGUGGCCGCCGGCGGCGACGCCGUUUGUUCGCACGGAGAGGCGAGGUCGAGGAGAAGGUCGGGGUUGCGGAGGAUGGCGGCGCGGCGCCUCGGGGUGGCGCGCAGAGAGGUGCAACGGUCGUUGCUUGUGGUCGCCGGCGACGGGGAUCGGGCGCCAGCGCACGACCGAAUGGGCGUAGUCGCCGGCGCAUAG
rnacentral:rRNA from 1 species